CACAGCGUUAUUAAGCUCUCACUCUCUAUCUCUGAUCUAUGUUUCACAUUGUUUGGGCUUCCAAAGCUAGCGCCUUGAAACAUAAACACAUGAAGUCAACAAAUAAUGAAGCGAUGGAAAACAGAGCAGAAAAUACCUAUGAUUUUUAUUUGAAACGCAGAAAUUAUAGGUAAAGCCCAGUCCACAUGGUGCGAUCUUACACUGCGUUUUUCGCAGCUGUGAUUUCCGCAAAUGCAUACUUCGCAUUCCCGUUUCACAUGCACUGAGCGCGGCAGCUGCGAUUUUCGCAUUUGCGAGCACCUAGCGGAGGACUGAAUUAUUUCUGGCAUCAGCUCGCUUUGGUAUAAGAACAAAGUUAAGCAACUUAAAAAGUAGUAGUAGUAAAAAUUAAGUAGGAAGGCCACAGUGAUGUGUCUACGAUCCACGUUGCGAUUGCUUCCCCAUCCUUGUCGCAUGUGUGUUUUUGUAGAGAACACUCUCAAGUCCAACAAAGGGCCACAGAGGGCGAAAAAAGCUACCGCGCGCUGCUGCUAAAAAAACGGGCAGAGUACACCAAUUAAAAAGGUUCCCCCGUGAGCGCAUUAUCUCCCGCUAGAGGCGCCGUAGUAAGCGCAAUUUUAACCUACAAGCUUUCUUUAGCAAUAAAGAAAGUGUUUUUAUUACAUGACAAAGAGUACAAAAUUCUCAUUCCUAAAUUUAAAUUGAACUUAUUAUAACCUACUUUGUUGUUUUUUCCCAUUAUGAAUGCAAAACAGCAUUCAGCAUCAUCGACCUCCCACGUGACCUCUGGCCUGGAUUUAAAAUUUUUACCUGUAUGUUCACGCGCACGGCAGGUACGGAUUCAUUGGUUCGUACAUCGGUUGCUUAUUUUGUACUAAAGCCAGUUUAUUGCGCAUCGAUAGCUCGCAUUAUUUAACUUGGGGUGUAAGCCCGAAAGCUAGGUUUCAGUCGUGAGCCAUGUGGAACAUAUCUGCAUCGAAAUGGGAGCCAGAUCCUGCUGCGACUGGGGACGGCAAUACCGACAUGCAGUAAUGAGGACGGCACCAGUAAGCAACACACUCCACACACUAAAGAGAAGCUGCUGCCUGCUAAAACAAGGUCAUUGUGUGGACUUUGGCUGCUACUACAAGGGUCUGUGCCAAGCACAUCUUGGUCAUCACAGGAGCCCCCAUCUAUACCAACAGGAAUGGGCUGGAGCCAAAUUCGCAGUGCUUUACACCACAAACAAAGAGGCGGUUCCAGAAGUAUUUGGAUGAGAUAUCAAGUCUACGGAGGAGUGUGUCAAAAGUGAAAAGAGCCUCCACCAUCAUUCCAUCAGCACAGAUAUUGGCCGAGUCAUCCAGGUACCUCAACAACAAAAAUUCUGCGUCUUCAGAUGUACCUGCAACCUCUGAACAAGCACAGACACACUGGCCAAAAGAGUACCGUCAGCUUGCCCUUCGUUAUUGAGCUUCCUGGCCUUGUCAAAUUCCAUUUGUGCCAAGUAUAAUUUCUUUUCAAUGAAUGCAAGCUUAUUUUUCCAUUCCACAUUCUUGUUAGAGAUCAUUCGUCUUCCUCAUCAAACAUUAAAGUUCAACCGAUUCUUUGCUCAUACUUAUUACCAGUCAUUGCCUAGUAGCAUAACACAUCUGUAGCAGUAUCUUCUAGUGUACGUUGCCAUGUGCAAUUCCUCUCCUGAAAUAGCUGAUGCGGCAUUGGCAUGUUUCUUGCAUUGACCUUUGCACUGUGUGCUAUGUAGCAUUUAACUUUCCUUAACGUUUUUGGCUUUCAUUGCUUGCAAAGUAGAGUGGCUUCUUUCUUGAAUGCAAGCUUUCUCAUUCCCAUAUUUAAUUCUUAGUCUCAAUCAGGAUUGCUAUUCUUGCUCGACAGCCUGUGUUCUUGUGCAAGCUACACUGAAGUGAUCGAUUGCAGAAUCUGGUUUCGCAGCUGUGCGACUUGGUACUCGUCACCGUGUUACGUUUCUCAUAUGUGGGGGCCUGGUCAGUUGCAUUGGGAAAUAGUCUCUCGAGGCAAGCACCUGCUCCUGCAGUCCGCACAGCGACACACACUCCGAAUUUACAUGCACCGUGAUUGGUGCUCCCAGUGCCGUCCUUUCCUGCUGCAGCCGUGUGCGAAUUUUGCUUGUGGCCUUCCUCGGCCAUGAUCAGACAUCAAUGGAGACUCGCACGUGAUUACAUGGUCCGAAGCAUAUGAAGUUGACAUCCACGUGGGUGGAAAGGCCUGCAGAAGUGGCUGCAAAAUGGUGAUGCCCACAAACCCAACCAUGCCCAUAUUUAGAGAAUGUGUGGCACCAAGUGCAAGUCGCACAUUAGCGGCACGCAAAAGAACAAAAACAAACAUGCAGGUUGGAAAGGAGGUAACAUUAAAAUGCCGGGAAGUCCAUGUCACUGUAAUGGCUGCGGCAGCAGAUGCCUGCAUCACCGGAUUGCUUUGUAAUACAAGUUGCUCAUGUUCAAUGGCGACUGUCGGUGCAAACAAGUGGGACACACUGUACAAUCUGCUUGCGCUGCUGGUUGUCGCUUGUUACCAGACCACCAUGUGCGAUGAAGGCAAGCACUAUGCCUGCAGUUGAAUGUGCUUAAGUGACCCAUGUGUGUGUAUGCUCAUUGUUGUCAUGUGGAUCGUAGUCAAUGUAUAGUGUAUAGUGCCAAUGUAUAGAUCGAGGGUUAUGUUAGAGGUAUGCUGAAGUGAUUUGAUUGCAGAGUCUUGUUUCAAUGCUGUCCCGCUUGGUCAUGGUUGCCGUGUUACAUUUCUCGGAUGUAGCGGCUUGGUCAGUUGCAUUGGUCAACAGCCUCUCGAGGUAAGCACUUGCUCCUGCAGUCCGCACAGUGACAUAGACUCCCUGUUUAUAUGUACUGUGAUUGGUGCUCCCUCUUAGUCUUUUUCUGCUGCAGCCGUGGGUAAAGUGUGCUUUUGGCCUUCUUCGGCCUCGAUUUGGCAUGAACAGAGAAGUGUAUAGGUGCUUACAUUGUCUGAAGCGUAUAAAGUUGAUAUCCACAUUGGUGGAAAGGCCCGCAAAAGUGGCUGCAAAAUGGCGAUUCUCACAAAACAAACCAUGUCCAUAUUGAGAGCAGGUGAGGCACCAAGUGCGAGUGACACGUUAGCAGCCACCGAAAGAACAAAAAGAAAUGUGCAGGUUGAUAAGGAGGCAACACUAAAAUGCUGAGUAGUCCAUGUUGCUGUGUUGGCUGCGGCAGCAGAUGCCUGUGUCACCAUAUUUCUUUGCAAUGCAAGCUAAGGCGACUGUCAAUGCAAAGAGGUGGGGCACUGCCCAAUUUGCUUGCGCUAUUGAUUGUCACUCGUUACCAGACUGCCAUGUGCGACGAGCUCACGUUAAUGGUUUCAGCGCACCUCGACAUGCAAAUUUUAUUUCUGCUCGUGAACGAGAAGGUGCACUGCUUUUCUUCUGCCAAUAAAGUCGUAUGUCCUGUUCA